UGCCUUUAAAUCCUGGAGCUUUGUAAAUAUUUAAUCAGUCAAGCAUGAAAUUUGGCAAAAUUAGAAAUGCAUUGCACAUACCUGUUAUUGUAUUAUGACUGAGAUGUUAAAUCAAUAAAAUGGAGGUUUUCAUAUAUUCAAUGAACAUUUGGAUGAUGAUGAGUAUUGGUAAGAAUCAGCCUGUCAGGGCAUAGGGUCACUUUUUACACAGUGAUCCUCGUGAUUGACAAAUGAAAGGCUCCUCUGGAAUAAUAAGGCUGUCCUUCUGUCAGACAUUAUGUAAUCACCUCAGUUCAUACAAUGUUCACACUGCUAAUGCCUUAAAGUAUGUUAAAAGGCUGUAGACGCACAAAUAAGUUUAAACAUUAUUGCCAUUUCAAAUGUAACCAAAACAAAUCUGUCUUCAGACUGAACUGAUUCCUUAUUCAUUAAAGAUAAUAUGGAGUCAAAGAUAUAUGUUUAAAAAAAAAAAGAAAAAAAGCAGUACGGAGAUAUUUUGUGGUUUCAAUUAUGUGUUUUUGGAUGUUUGAAUCUGGGGCGCCGUAAGCCUCCAUUAGGUGGAGUUGUGUUGCUACCCCCUCUCCCCUUGGAUCCUCACAAGUGUUGUGAGGACUCUGAAACUUCACCUGAGCCUCCCUCAGCAUAUGGGUGAGUAGAUAAUGGCUGAAUUUUCAUUUUUUGGUGCACUAUCCCUUUAAUGCUAGCCACACUGGUAUUUUAACAUUGCACUCUCCCAACAGUUCACUGUUUGGUGGUGGUGGCACAAUCUUAUUUUUCACUCCAUUACUCAAAUCAUUAAAGUGUCAGUGGACAGACAUUUAUUCUUGGGAUCUGUCACCAAGACCUGCUGAUGUUACUUUCAGUGUUUACAUUACAUUUAGGACCCACUGGGUAUUUCACCGCAUAAGGCAGUUUGCAGAAUGAGGUUCAGUGGGUACUGAAGAAGCCUUUAGUGCCAAGCAAACUGAUAAAUAUAGUCAUUUAGAUAUGGACAGUGGUGCUAUAGGGAUGCUGCUGAUAAUGCAGUGUGCUGUAAUUACCUCCCCUACAGUGUAGAUACUGUAACGCUCUGUCUGCUCCUUGGUUUCUGAGAUACCAAAUGUAAAUCUUUGAAUUUAUCUAGCAUCUAAAAGUUUAAAAAAAUAUACACCAUUACAGAGAAAAAAAAAAAAAAAGUUUUUCCAAAUGGAUGAUUAAGAGGGCGAAACUGAGAAGACACACAUAAAUGUUGAUAAAGAGAAAUACUGUCAUUAAUUCAUUGAAAUAAUACUUUUAAAAUAAGUAAAUAAAAGGCAAAAGAAAAAAUAAAACAUACACCUUUUAAAGGUCCAGUGUGUAGGAUUUAGGGGGAUACACUGGCAGAAAUUAUAGUUUAAUAUUCAUAACUAUGUUUUCAUUAGUUUAUAACUUGUGUUUUUGUUACUUUACAGUGAGCUGUUUAUAUGUACAUAUGCGGAGGGUCCUCUUCAAAGAAAUCCACCAUGUUGUUUCUACAGUAGCCCAGAAUGGACAAAAUAUACAGUGGCUGUAUGUGUGCAGUUUGCGAUGGUCACCAUAGUUCUAGUGUAACUGUAAGGCUAAUGACUUUGACACAGAAGAUCUGUGGUUCCAUUCCUGGUCAGGGCGGCAUAACACAUAUCCUUAAUACUGCUAGCCUACCUCAGGAUGAGUGGAACCACAAACGCAAGAGUCAUACUGGCUCAGAUGUUGCCUGAGUCAACAAGGUCCACGUCAGGUGUUGGGGAACCAGGGCAAUCUGAUGAGAAAUGGGCUAUUGGAACGAGACAGAGAUGGACUAGAGCAGAGAACAUGGAACUAUUGAAUACUACUAUACUAGUAAACCCUGUGAGAGGGGCUACAUGCAGAGGAUGUGGGAUACAUGGAAGCUUCAAAACAACAUCUAGCCUGACAAAGAAACAACUCCUAGUCCACUGUUCCAACAUCCACAAAUGGCAACUGCUAUUGCAGCUAGAGAUUGAUGAGGUACAACAAACAUGCUAUGGCAAGGGGGAGCCAGGACAAAAGGUCAAAUCCGAGGUUGGGUACCAAGCCCCAACAAGUCCUUACAACACAGAUUCCCUUUACAACAAGGGUGAAUGACCUGAGAUUGAAAUGGACAAGCUGGAAACCCAGCACCCCUGAAGAAUACCAAGGCUAAGUGACAAAGUACUCUCUGAAAGUCCGCUAGAUGAAGUGAAUUUAGUACAACAUACUAUCCCACUAGGUACAUAACUGAGACCAAUCAGCCAAGAUCAAGGCAACACGAACAGAAGUUAGUCAACUCUCAGAGCUACAGAAAGGUGUGGGGCAACAUCAAGAAGAAGGAACAUGAGAAGCUUGCAAACUACCAAAGGCUGAGAGAGGAGCUAGAAAAGAUAUGGGAAGUAAAAGCAACAGUGGUGCCAGUGGUGAUCGGCGCACUGGGGCUGUGACCCACAAACUGGGAGAGUGGCUCCAGCAGAUCCCACGUACAACACCUCCUAAAGUCUCUGUCCAGUAGGGUGCGGUCCUAGGAAUAGCUAAGAUACUUCGCAGAACCCUCAAACUCCAAGGCCUCUGGUAGAGGACCCGAGCUCGAGGAAGACACACCAUCAUCUCCCAUAGAGGUUCUUUCUUUUUAAUUUAAUAAGACAAUAUUAUUUUUUUUAUGGGCAUCACAGUGAUUCAGUGGUUAGCAUUGUUGCCUCACAGCAAGAGGAUCUUCUCAUUCAACACCUCUGUGAGAGUACCAAAUGCCCAGGUUAUAUUCAUAUUUCUGCAGCUAUAGUCACAGAUCAGAUUGUGGACUAAAGGAGCCAAACUUUUGAGAAAAGCAAAACAUCAGUACAAAAAAGAAUAAUAUAUCUAAUUCAAUCCACUCAAUACACAAUAAAAUGCACCAAAACUUGGGUGAGCAUUCCUAUAAGCCCAAUAUUCAUGUUAACUAAUGUUUUGACCUGUCAUUAGGCCCUGCAGUGUGUAUUAGCUGCGCCCUCAUAAAUCCACUGAGCCCUCUGACAUCUUUCUCUAACCCUGACCUAACAUACCUUAUCCACCUUAUUCCUAGCCCCCAUGAUACCUUGUGUGAAUUAUGGGUGCAACUUCCGGCGUUGAACCGAAACCGGCGGUUUCCACUGGUAACAGUUUGUUUACAGUGUUUUUUUCGUCUUUCCAAGAGCAACUGGGAAAUAAAACGUGGAGCACACUACCUGCUAUAGCUCAAACGGGAUCAUGUGAUCAUACCUCUCCCAUCUCUGACAGCCAUCUCAAAGCAACCGAGCACGCCAGCAAUUAGCUUGCCUUGCUACAUUAAAAUAUGGUUAGCUUAACAUGUCCCGAGCUAGCUUAAGGUAACAUCUGCUCCUUCUAAAGAUGAUUUCUGAUUUCUGAUGACUUAUUAAGAAAUACUAACACAUGAUUCAGUAUUAACUGUAGCUCCAUGUAAAGUGAAUAAAUGUGAUGUUUCCCAGCUGAUCCUCUGCUCGUCUGUGUUGGCAUUCAUUUUUUAUAUGAUAUAAAGGAUGUGGUAAAUCAGUAACAUAUUCUCAGCCCUAAUGACUAAAUACAUAUUUUAAAGGUAUGUUGCUGAGUUUAUUUUAUAACGAGCAAUUUUCUAAUGUAGGUUGAGAAUGAAGUCAGACGGGGAAAGACAGGGAUAUCACGUACUGACGUUGAGUGAUGGACCUGUCAGUCUAGGUGUUAUUCUCUUCUGCAAAUUCUGAUUUAAUACUUUUUCUCUAAGUCUCGUGAAACUCUUGUGGUUUUAUUUCUCAUAUCAAUGGUUACUAUGGCAACAGGAACAAUCCCUUUGUGUUCUGGUUACAUGUUCAACACACAGUUGCUAAAGACAAAAAAAUAGCUUAGACUGGUUGUUAGCCGUUACAGACACGGACAGUGCAACAGGUACCAGAGCUCCGAAGAGACAUUUUAGAAAAUGCUAAGCUAACAUUAGUGGAAUGUUUGCUAAAAAAUAAAUCAGUAUUUGCAAAACUGAAGGCAAAUUACUUUGGAAAAGAACCAGCGUUGGCGGUUAGCCACCAAGAGUAGCCACUGGGACUAACCACAGACAGUCUAUGGGACUAACUAGCUUACUGCUACUUCCGCUAUCUCACAGGAAGUUGCGCCCAUAAUCAUUUCUACAGUAGUGCCCUCAGGAAUAAGGUGGAUAGCUGCCUUUAAAUUACUCACUUGCCCAAGCAAAGAGCAGAUACUCUACAGCUUGCCCCAGUCUCAUAUCUACAUUGUAUCUGCGCAGGAUAACCUACAGUGACAACUGGCUUGAUAGGCAACUUCAUGUGACGGCCAUGGCUCAACCACCAUCACUGUCUAUCUGGUUCCAGCAGUCUUACCCCUGGUUAGUAAACCCCUGUGGUAUGAGAAACGUCAUGAAUUAUAUCCUUUCCCCUGCCUUACCAGAGAAAAGAACAUGGUUUCAAUAGUCCAUCAUAAGAGGUUAUUGUGAGCACUGUAUUCAGAAGUCUGUCAUUCAGUAGUUGCUCUAAAGACAUGAAAUAAUAUUUAACACUGAUCAAACACACUCAGUUAAUGUUCUUUGAAUGUGGAUAAGAAACACAUUAUUACAAUAAAGAUUAACAAAAACUCCAACUGAUUUUAAAAAAUCAAAUACUAAUUUGUAAUGUGACAAAGAGUCUAUUAGCACCCGGUUGAAAUUUAUCACACUGCAGCUAUUCAGCUAUUUACUCCCAUCCCUACAACCGUUAUUAUGGAUCCCACUGUGUGCCGUGACUGGACAGUACUUCUCAAGUUGAUGCAUCGAGGUUGGAAACAGUCAGGGUAAGGGCAAGGAGGUCGUGCUUAGAGCUAAUACUAGCCAAUCUUGGAUAUAUCUCUUGGAGAUGAAGGUGGCAAAUUAUAAAACCUCAUAAAGGCACUGCCAGAAAGUCAGGUGAUCUAGUAUAAAGAGCAACACAGUCCAUGGUGGGAGUGAUAUGUGGUGGAUGAACGAGUCAAACACUGGACUUCCACACAGGAGACUGGGGUUUGA